rnacentral:lncRNA from 1 species
AUGGGAAAAACGGCAGAAUGUCCUCAAUGUCCUCGGCAGGGAAUCCCAUAUCAGAAAGACAAGAGAGCUCAGAAUUGCCCUCGGCAGAGAAUCCCAUAUCAGAAAGACAACAGAGCCCACGCCUGUGGUAGAAAGUCCCAUAGUAGAAUGAGAACAGAGCUCAAUGCCCUUGAAAGCCCCAUAUCAGAAUGUAAACAGAACUUGAGAAAUUCCUCCACCCCUUCUGAAAAUCCCCUAAACCAGCCUAUAAAAAACCCAGCUGUAACCUACUUCGAGGUCCAAGUCCCUGCUCUGCUGUGUCGGGUAUACUUGGACCCAAGCUGGAGCUUGCUAAUAAACCCUCGUGAGUUUGCAUUGGUGUCGGCUCCUUGGUGGUUUCCCGGAUUCGCAAUCUUGGGCACAACAGAGAGAACUUUGGUCUGGUGUGGGUGCAGACAGAUCACAAUGAAAAAGUAUUUGUUUACAUCAAGAAAAAUGAUUGUCCGUGGUUCAAAAUAUUGUUUCUUCAUAAGAGAGAAAUCAUCUUUUCUUUAG